AUUGAACGCUGGCGGCAGGCCUAACACAUGCGAGUCGAGCGGAUGAAGGGAGCUUGCUCCUGGAUUCAGCGGCGGACGGGUGAGUAAUGCCUAGGAAUCUGCCUGGUAGUGGGGGAUAACGUCCGGAAACGGGCGCUAAUACCGCAUACGUCCUGAGGGAGAAAGUGGGGGAUCUUCGGACCUCACGCUAUCAGAUGAGCCUAGGUCGGAUUAGCUAGUUGGUGGGGUAAAGGCCUACCAAGGCGACGAUCCGUAACUGGUCUGAGAGGAUGAUCAGUCACACGGGAACUGAGACACGGUCCAGACUCCUACGGGGGGCAGCAGUGGGGAAUAUUGGACAAUGGGCGAAAGCCUGAUCCAGCCAUGCCGCGUGUGUGAAGAAGGUCUUCGGAUUGUAAAGCACUUUAAGUUGGGAGGAAGGGCAGUAAGUUAAUACCUUGCUGUUUUGACGUUACCAACAGAAUAAGCACCGGCUAACUUCGUG
rnacentral:rRNA from 1 species